UUGAACGCACCUUGCGCUCCCUGGUAUUCCGGGGGAGCACGCCUGUUCGAGCGUCAUGAAGCUCUCAAACACUAUCUUUUCUUAACUGAGAAGGUGGCCGUUUGGAUUUGGACUCUGCCGUGUAACAAACGCUGGUCCGAAAGAUAUUAGCUGAUCCUAGCGAAGCUUGGUUCUACUCGGCGUGAUAAUUAUCUGACGUCGAGGACAUCGCAAGAUGGCCAAAAAUUUGUUUUAUGGAUUGCUUCUAAUCGUCUUCAUCGACAACACAUCAUCAAUCUGACCUCGAAUCAGGUGGGACUACCCGCUGAACUUAAGCAUAUCAAUA
rnacentral:rRNA from 1 species